UACAGAGGGUGCGAGCGUUAAUCGGAAUUACUGGGCGUAAAGCGCGCGUAGGCGGCUUUUCAAGUCGAUUGUGAAAUCCCCGGGCUUAACCUGGGAACUGCAGUCGAGACUGUCUAGCUAGAGUAUGGGAGAGGGAAGUGGAAUUUCAGGUGUAGCGGUGAAAUGCGUAGAGAUCGGGAGGAAGGCCGGUGGCGAAGGCGGCGCUCUGGAACGUUUCUGACACUGAGGCUCGAAAGCGUGGGGAGCAAACAGG
rnacentral:rRNA from 1 species